GUAAUAUAUCAGUCUUUUGCUUCCACUAGUGCAGAGGCGGAUCCAUAGGGGGGGCAAAGUAGGCCAUGGCCCCCCCUCAAUUUUGUACACCCUUUUAUGUAUAUGAUUAUUUAGUAUUAAGUGUAGAAAAAAAAUCAAAGUUUUAGAUAGUAUAGAGUCUUGUUCUAAAUCUCUAAAACUAAUAGCUAGUUGCUAAAAUUAGUCGAGAGGUUUAGAAUGGAUCAACUAAUUGUUAGUUAUAUUCCUCAAAUAAAUAUUAGUUGUUAGAUGCCACAACCCAGCUAAAACCAGUUAAUAGUUAGUUAUAAAGGUUUAGAACAUGACAUAAAACAACCAUGUUAUGAGCCUGCUCGUCUGAUCCUCUCGGUCUAGUCCUUGCAUCUACCUGUCUAACUCUAAUCUUUUCGACACCACCUAAACCAGUCUGCUCGUUGUCCUGUUUUCGCCGCCGACCCAUUCCCGAUGCGACGCCACCCGACUUCGCCCCUUCCUGCCGCCUUCGUCCCUUGUUUUGUUUUUACAUGACGUCAAUCCGCUCGACAAGCUAGAUCUCGCUCGUCGCAACGAUAUGACUUGUCCCAUGCGGUUGACGGACAUGGCGAACUAGAAAAUCAUGUCUCUCAUGUGGUCUUUUUGGCCCCCCCUGAAUUUUCGUCCUGCGUCCGCCACUGCACUAGUGGAAUUAGUUUGUAUCAUGUACGAUUGAUUUAUGCUAAUGUCAAAAGCUCCCGAUAACAAUUUAAUGUCAAUGUUUUUUUAACUAAAUGUAAUUUUUUUUUUACAAUGAGUUCGUAAAAUUAAGAUGAAUAGGGUCCUUGCUCGCGGGCAGAACUUAUUCAUAUCUGUUUCGUG
rnacentral:lncRNA from 1 species